rnacentral:rRNA from 1 species
AACGAACGCUGGCGGCAGGCUUAACACAUGCAAGUCGAGCGCCCCGCAAGGGGAGCGGCAGACGGGUGAGUAACGCGUGGGAAUCUACCCAUCUCUACGGAAUAACGCAUGGAAACGUGUGCUAAUACCGUAUACGUCCUUCGGGCGAAAGAUUUAUCGGAGAUGGAUGAGCCCGCGUUGGAUUAGCUAGUUGGUGGGGUAAAGGCCUACCAAGGCGACGAUCCAUAGCUGGUCUGAGAGGAAGUUCAGCCACACUGGGACUGAGACACGGCCCAGACUCCUACGGGAGGCAGCAGUGGGGAAUAUUGGACAAUGGGCGCAAGCCUGAUCCAGCCAUGCCGCGUGAGUGAUGAAGGCCCUAGGGUUGUAAAGCUCUUUCACCGGUGAAGAUAAUGACGGUAACCGGAGAAGAAGCCCCGGCUAACUUCGUGCCAGCAGCCGCAGUAACAC